rnacentral:rRNA from 1 species
GAUGGCCCCGCGCCAUAAGCGAUGGCCCCGCGCCAUAAGCUAGUUGGAGGUACCGGUCACCAAGGCACGAUCGUACGGCCUGGAAGGUGACCGCCCACUUGGAUUGGACCGGGCCCAACUCUUACGGAGGCAGCAUUAGGAAUCUUCCGCAAUGGACGAAAGUUGGACGAAGGACCCCCGUUGAGCGAAGAAGUUUUCGGAUCGUAAAGUUUUGUUUUAGGGAAGAAGAAGUACCGUUCGAAUAGGGCGUACGGUGACGUACCUAACGAAAAAGCCCCGGCUAAUUACGUGCCAGCAGCCGCGGUAAUACGUAGGGGGCGAGCUUUGUCCGGAAUUUUUGGGCGUAAAGCGCGCCCAGGCGUUCCCUAAAGUUUGAUGUAAAGCCCACGGCUCACCCGUGGAGGGUCAUGGGAAACUGGGGGACUUGAGUCCAGAAGAGGAGAGCGGAUUUCCACGUGUAGCGGUGAAUUGCGUAGAGAUGUGGAGGACCACCAGUGGCGAGGGCGGCUUUCUGUUCGGUAACUGACGUUGAGGCGCGAAAGCGUGGGGAGCAACCGGGUUUAGAUCCCUGGGUAGUCCACCCGGUAACCGAUGAGUGUUAAGUGUUAGGGGGGUUUUCCCUUUAGUGCUGUAGCUAACGCGUUAAGCACUCCGCCUGGGGAGUACGGCCGCAAGGCUGAAACUCAAAGGAAUUGACGGGGGCCCGCACAAGCGGUGGAG